UUGGAAUUCUAUUGGUUGAAACUCCUCUUUUGUUGAACCCCGUAAACUUGGUGACAUUGGUGAUAGUAUCACAACACUUCGUACCCUUGACAUCGAUUUUCGAAACAAACUCAGUUGAACCAUUGAGUUCUUAUUGAUGCAAAAUGUCCUCACAUUUACGUAAUCUGAUUAAGUCUUGCUUUGAUUACGCGGUUAUUCACUUUGGUAUUAUUCGGACUUACCUAGGAAGGACACAACUCUGAGGAGAUAACAUAGUCUAAAUUUCGAGGACGAAAUUUCUGCAACAGGGGGAGAAUGUGACAACCGGUAAUUAACGGCUUCUAAUUACGCGAUUAACGAACAUUUAAGGCGAUAAUUAAUAGCGUUUAAGGCACGAGUUAACCCAACAAGGCUUUUGUAAUGCUUCGACUUUACAGUACGCGAAUGGUGAAUUGCGGAAAACUUGCAUAACGAAAAGCGGUAACGAGCGGACACCGUACAAAAUACGGACAACGCCGACGAAUAUAAACUUUGUACAUAUAAUUUAUAUUUAAAGAUUUUGUUUUGCGAAAUAUUCAUGCUUUCGAACGACAUAAAACACGAACGCAAACAUUGGUCAUAAUUGUCUAAAUACUUGGGUAAUCACUCUAUAGUAUUACUAUGUGAGCAAUACCAUAAAUAUAUAUUUAGAAAUAUAUGUGUUAUUUUUUUUUGAUGCGUAAGUUGUAAAUUAUAUUUGCAACACGCGGUUAGCACGACACGAAUACAAACGUAUAAAAAUAUAUUUGUAUACACCCGACACAUUCAUAUGUUUUAUUAUGCUUCUAUUUUAUUUAUUAUUAAAAAUAGUAAGUAGUGGGUAUAAUUAAGCGGGUAUUUUAUACACCAACCAAAACUUAAAUCCACACUCAAGGUUAACCGUCAUCCAUCAUCAUUCAUCAACACAAUUAUCACCCAACCUGUACCCCAUUGCCGUCAAUCACACCAAAUCUCACAAUCAUGCCCCUUUCAUUUUUUUUAAAUUGUUUUUCCCAUGUGUUGAAACAUGAAGAUAUUUUAAGUUAUGAUUAUAAAGAACACACCCCGUACUUCAUUUCAUGUCUUCAACUCACAGCCCUAAGCAAAGUAAAGUAUGGGUACUUAUUUAUUUGACAAAAAGUGAUGUAAAGGAAAUGACGAAUGGCAUGGAAAGUUGAAAAAAAAAUAAUAAUAAUCAAGUAUGUGUGGCUGGUAUUGACCCAUGAGUAUUGCACCAAAAUAUAUAUGUUGACUUUUGUGAGAAUUUUUUUUUGUCGACCAUGCUUCAUUCACAGAAAUCAUGUUCUACAAAUCUACACUCCAUCUAGAUUCAUCAUUGCAUCCUUAAAAAAAACUACACCUCUAGUUUUUUUUAUUCAAGACUUUUUUUUCUCUCAUUCUUAGCUCUCUUUUCCUCCCUUUCUCUUGACCGAAUUCAGCCCAAACAACCCCACAAAUCUUCCACACAGCCCAAAGUUCAAACAUUCAAGUGGUUUUGAGGUGUUUGUUCCAAGUUUAAGCUUCAAGCUUUAAGAUUCAAGCUUUUCUUCUCUAGUUUCUCAUACUGCCUUGUUUGCUUGUUGAUACGCAUAGGUCAUGUCGCACGUCCACGGACUUUGAUUUUAGCUACUUUCUUUGCUACAUUUGCUCGUGCAUCAGGUUGCAUUUUCAAAACUAUGGAACGGUUGGAAUAGGAGAACCCAUGGGAAUUCGAGUACUUAGAGGCGUUCAUUUUCGAGAAGUCUUAGCUUAUUUGCUUCCGCUGUGCAAUGAAGAUACCGGUCCAGUCACGCCAGCUCUGAUAUUUCGGGGUGUGACACACAUGAACUUUGAACUUGAACAAAUAAGGGAUUUCUUAGAAAAUAAAGUUAUAAACUUGUAGAUCUAAAGAUCUAUGAGUGGUUUUUCAAAAGAACCAAGUGAAAGGAAUAAGUUUUGGUAAAAUUCGGAUCUUAUAUGAACUAAACACAUUUUUAGUAAGUAAACAAGUGUAUAAACACUUGUGUAACAAGAAAAUUUCACAAAGAAAAAUUUUUGGAAAUCAUGACUAGAAGUUGUAAAUGUUUAAAUCCUUUAAAAAUAAAGAUUUUAAGAAACUAAUCACAUUUUUAAAGGUAACAAGACUUACUAAUUAUGCUAGUAAGUUACUACUUGCUUUUACAAAUUUUUCAAGUUCAUAAGUUUAUUGUUUAUACUUAUUUUUGCCAAGAUUGGUAAUUGGAGAUUCUAUAUUCUUGGUUGAUGAUUGUUUGAAUGAUUUUACAAAAGAAAGUGAUAUGCUAGGCAGCAUGGACACCUCCAUUUACAAAGAAAACUCUGGCGAAAUUUUUCUAGAAUUUCAACACUUAGAAAUAUUUUUCUAACAAGAGUUUACAAAUGUAUUUUUAACUUGGUUUUCAAAAUAAACUUCGCCAUGAUUUUUAUUUGCAAAAAUACUAAGUGCCGGAGGUUGAUUUUCUUAAAUAAAAUUUGUUAAAUAUAUAUUUAGAAUAUAUAUUUUAUACUAAAACGCUUGUGUGAUUGUUUGUUUAUUAUGUGAACUAGAUAUAUUAUUUUUAGGAUAAAAUAAUAUAACUUGAAAAUACCAUGAGAUUACGAUUCCAUAAUAAUACCAACGCUCUCACAAAAUAAAUAUUUAAGUUACACAAGUAUUGUUGCCUUACGACACGCUAAAACGUAACUUAUGUAUAUUUCGGAAAAUACUCUCAUACGUAUAUUUCGAUAAAGUAUUAUUUUGGAAAAUGUAUAGGUAAAAUAUAAUAUUUUUGGAAAAGUUAUGUAUAUUUUGGAAUUAAGAUGUUUUAGACAAGUAAAUUAAAUAUAUUUUCUAAGUUGGACUUAAAAUAUAUUUUUCGGAAUUAGAACGUGUACAUGUAUAAAAACCCUCAUCCUUGGGAAGGAAAUACACUUAUAAAAUAAUUAAAAAGUGUGAAUACGAAAUAGUUGCCUAACUAUUUUUCCAAAAUCGUUAAACCUUAAACCAAGGCACGGCCCAUCCGUCUAAUAGGCAUUAGUACGUGUAGGUCGUCACGCAGCAGAUCGAGUUUGAGAUUGACGUUACAGGAUACGCACUUUUGAAAUUAGUGGAUCUGGCAAGGUAUGCAUCACAUCAAGCUGCGUAAGGAAUACUGAUGUCAUCCGGGUUUAGGAAGUGUGACCCUUGCCUGGACGGGUUACAAGCCUUAAACCGUGUUUUUAGUCAAGUCUUUUGUCGUAUCGUAUGAACAUGUUUUUAAUUAUGUCAUGGUUGUAUUUGGAUUUAUGUGUCGACUUUUAAACAAUGUUGUCGUGGUAACUUUUAAAACUUGAUGAAUGGAUGAACAUCAUGUGUUUGAUUUUCAUA